UACGUAGGGCGCGAGCGUUGUCCGGAAUCAUUGGGCGUAAAGAGCUCGUAGGCGGCCUGUCGCGUCUGCUGUGAAAUCCCGGGGCUCAACCCCGGGCGUGCAGUGGAUACGGGCUGGCUGGAGGCAGGCAGGGGAGAACGGAAUUCCCGGUGUAGCGGUGAAAUGCGCAGAUAUCGGGAGGAACACCGGUGGCGAAGGCGGUUCUCUGGGCCUGUACUGACGCUGAGGAGCGAAGCGUGGGGAGCGAACAGG
rnacentral:rRNA from 1 species